rnacentral:tRNA from 1 species
GCUCAGUUGGUAGAGCAUGGUGUUUGCAAUGCCAGGGUUGUAGGUUCGAUUCCCAC